GACGGGAGAGCUAGGGGAGCUGGAUGCUAGACACUGACGUCUGCGUGAUCUAGCGGCGGCGCCUGGAGCAUCCCUUCUGCGCUUGCUCUAGGGUUCGGCGACGAGGAGGAGAGGGCCCUACGUCGGCGGCGGCGGCUCAGUCCCUCUGCGGCCGCUGGCAGCGGCGGCAGCACCUAGUGGUCCUGCGGCGGCGGACGUGGCGGUGGUGGCGCGGAGCCUAUGCAGCGACGCUCCGGCUCCGCCUAGGGACCCUCGCCCUCCUCCAUCCCCAGUCGGCGCAGCUGUCGCCGCUCCACCUCGGGACCCCGACCCUCACCCGUACCCUCCUCCACCCCCCGUCGACGCUCGCGUUGCCCCACUCCCCGCAGCUACUCUACGAGGACCACGGAGGGAGGCUCACCCUCCCCCUCUCCCUGCAGUCGCCGCUCGGCCUACCCCGCUCCCCGCAGCUACUCUACGGGGGCCGCGAAGGGAGGCCCGCCCUCCUCCUCUCCCCGCAGCCGCCACUCCGCCCACAGCCGCCGCUCUACCAGAGACUGACCGCACUACUCCGCCCGUCGAAUCCGCACUUCGCACGCAAGCACCUCCAUAAGCGGUCCCGCGAGAAGAUAGGCUGCCACUACGAGUUGAUGCCGGCGUCAAACUAGCUCGGGCUCAAGGUGACCACCCUAGCGUAGCUGUUCCUAUAAACCUAUCCCCGUCAAGGAGUGGUUGGUUACAGUAUUAAAUAGUGCAGGCGUUUACUAAAAACCUGACAUCAAACCUAACAAGACGGCUCGCAUAUUGUUGCGUACGAUAGAUAGUUUCGAAGCUGAGUAAACAAAACGACGAGACCUUAUAACUCUGCUCUUCUUACCGGAACUACGACCUCCAAUUACCUAGUGGGACCCUUGCUAAAACUCCCGUAAUACGGUCGAUGAAACUACCGUUACCUAAUACCUUACCGUUUGAUUGUCCCGUGUAGCGUGUUGACCAUAUUUACACAACUAUACAACGUAAAGUUCCGUCAAAGUGAGUAUUUAUGAUGUGUCAAACUUGUUAAAUCGUAAACCCUGGUGCUCCUAAGGCUAACCCUCUUGCUGCAGCAGGUAUCUAAUUACAUACCCUUGUAGCUCGGUUGGGUGAAAUGUCCUGUCCUCCCAACUGGCGACCCGCUACGCGACGUGCUCAUCCGGUCCUCCUUGUUCUCAUCUUCUCCUGACAUCGGACAUCCACUCUCUUCUACUACGGUAACGGUAGAACUGACUUCCAACCCGUAGAUUUCUACGAACCGUUGGUCUUGAGACUUCGAUUUGUGGUGAACUUCCAUGGACCUUUAUGUAAUGAACGACUUCGACGUGUAGGAUGCGGGGUCCUCCUCCGGUUUACGUAUAAGGCUAGUACACUAGAUUUAUGAUUUCGAAGGAACGACCUAGAUUCGUAUGAAGGCAUCGUCGGCCUCGACUUGUAAAUCUCUCUGGUAUGACAUCGUUCGAACGAAAGGUCCCUGGACCACAAAGACGUUUGGGUUGCUAUCCGCACAAACUUUUUUUUUCGAUUUACCGCGCGGGCGACAUCGUUCACUCACGGGUAGCUUUAGUGGAACUCGUAUAAACGCGACUAAAAGUACUAACGAGAAGACGGUCGUUGUUACAAGGAGCGUGAAGCUGGUGUGUUGACAAGGCCUUCUACAGUACUUCUUAAAGAAAGUCUCUUAAACGCACUCGACUAGACAUCGUCACGCCUUCCACUCGAACCGACGGCCGUCGUCGAGGAAACCGACUAGACGCCGCUACGUCUUCAACCCAACCUUUUUUCGUGCUGGCCGACGAGACUUCACCCAGCAUCCCUCUCGAAGCAUUCUCUAUCCCUCCCUCGAGAUAACCGGGCACGUACUGUAGGUUGGGUUACCGUAGUACGGGACCAUCCGUACCAACGUACCGGUGCCCCUCUUACCUCGUUCAUCGCACACUCCUCAAAUUCUUUACCCCUGUUCCCUGUCAAAUCAAUUAAUUCAGAUACAAUCAAAAUUCAAAAUAGGAACAACGCCAUUUUUUAAUUCCAACCUAAUUGGUGGUACAUGUAGAAAUUAAUGAAAAUUUAUUCUUUAUAUUAGUUUUAUAAGAAAACUUUAGUAUUUUAAAUAUAUUAAACAUGUUCAUGUACUUCCACCUUGUCCUCCUUCCCACCCUCUUCUAAUCCGGGGCAAACCAUUGUUUCAUAAAAGAUACAUAAGGGUAUUAUGACGUCAAAAAAUAUUAUGACAUCAAAAAUAAUGUUUCCCAACAAACCGACAGAGAUUUUUAAAAUUAAAAUUAUGACGUCAAAAACCGUUUGGUGUCAUAAAAGAGACGUAUUUUUUUUCUUGGUGUAUGGAGAAAAAAAAAUUUGAUUCGAGCGACUCUUUUCUCUCAGGGAGCGAGUAUGGAAGAAGAGUUGUGCGGAGUACAGGUGCUGGCAAAAUAGUCCUAGAAGACGAACCACUAAAUCAAUCAAGCGAAGGCAAACAACGAGGUUUAAUGUCGGUUGGUGUUUUAGCAAAACUUCUGCAACAACGGCAGGCCUAUCGGUCAAUC
rnacentral:rRNA from 1 species